rnacentral:rRNA from 1 species
AAACCGUUCAGGGGUAAACCUGAGAAACCCAAAAGUUCGAACGGGGAGAUUCACCGUCAGCGGAGCAGGCUUGGUAAGUCGGACCUAGCGCCGUCCCCGGACCUGACACUCUGCUGGCCGGCGUGGACCUCCGACGGGCCGAAACGUGAACGAUACCGGUCAGCGACGCUAUUGCUUUGGGUACUCUCAGGACCCGUCUUGAAACACGGACCAAGGAGUCUAACAUGUGCGCGAGUCAUUGGGACUUGAAAGACCUAAAGGCGAAAUGAAAGUGAAGGUCGGCCUCGCGCCGACCGAGGGAGGAUGGGCCGCGUCACGAUGCGGCUCCGCACUCCCGGGGCGCCUCGUUCUCAUUGCGAGAUGAGGCGCACCCAGAGCGUACACGUUGG